rnacentral:rRNA from 1 species
GGGUUAGUACGCUGGUCGUGCCUUCGGUACGUACUGGUGUUACUGAUUCCUACCUUCUGACGAACCAUCAUGUCAUUCAUUUGGUGUGGUGGGGAAUCAGGACUGUUACUUUGAAAAAAUUAGAGUGUUUAAAGCAGGCUCGCGCUUGAAAUACAUUAGCAUGGGAUAAUGAAAUAGGACGUUGAUCCUAUUUUGUUGGCUUCUAGGAUUGACGUAAUGAUUAAUAGGGAUAGUUGGGCUGAGACUGC